CCUACGGGAGGCAGCAGUGAGGAAUAUUGCGCAAUGGACGAAAGUCUGACGCAGCCAUGCCGCGUGCAGGAUGACGGCCCUAUGGGUUGUAAACUGCUUUUGUUUAGGAAGAAACUCAGCUACGUGUAGCUGACUGACGGUACUAGAUGAAUAAGCAUCGGCUAACUCCGUGCCAGCAGCCGCGGUAAUACGGAGGAUGCGAGCGUUAUCCGGAUUUAUUGGGUUUAAAGGGUGCGUAGGCGGGGCUUUAAGUCAGUGGUGAAAUCUUGCAGCUUAACUGUAAAAUUGCCAUUGAUACUGAAGUUCUUGAGUGCGGUUGAAGUAGGCGGAAUGUGUAAUGUAGCGGUGAAAUGCUUAGAGAUUACACAGAACACCGAUUGCGUAGGCAGCUUACUAAGCCGUAACUGACGCUGAGGCACGAAAGUGUGGGGAUCGAACAGGAUUAGAUACCCUGGUAGUCCACACUGUAAACGAUGAUCACUAGCUGUUGGCGAUAAACAGUCA
rnacentral:rRNA from 1 species